AGCGGACGCUGGCGGCAGGCUUAACACAUGCAAGUCGAGCGGGCAUCCUUGUGGUGUCAGCGGCAGACGGGUGAGUAACGCGUGGGAACGUGCCCUUCGGUUCGGAAUAACUCAGGGAAACUUGAGCUAAUACCGGAUACGUGCGAGAGCAGAAAGGUUUAUCUGCCGAAGGAUCGGCCCGCGUCUGAUUAGCUAGUUGGUGAGGUUACGGCUCACCAAGGCGACGAUCAGUAGCUGGUCUGAGAGGAUGAUCAGCCACACUGGGACUGAGACACGGCCCAGACUCCUACGGGAGGCAGCAGUGGGGAAUAUUGGACAAUGGGGGCAACCCUGAUCCAGCCAUGCCGCGUGAGUGAUGACGACCUUAGGGUUGUAAAGCUCUUUUCUCCGGGACGAUAAUGACGGUACCGGAGGAAUAAGCCCCGGCUAACUUCGUG
rnacentral:rRNA from 1 species